AUUACCGAGUUUACAACUCCCAAACCCCUGUGAACAUACCUUAUGUUGCCUCGGCGGAUCAGCCCGCGCCCCGUAAAAAGGGACGGCCCGCCGCAGGAACCCUAAACUCUGUUUUUAGUGGAACUUCUGAGUAUAAAAAACAAAUAAAUCAAAACUUUCAACAACGGAUCUCUUGGUUCUGGCAUCGAUGAAGAACGCAGCAAAAUGCGAUAAGUAAUGUGAAUUGCAGAAUUCAGUGAAUCAUCGAAUCUUUGAACGCACAUUGCGCCCGCCAGUAUUCUGGCGGGCAUGCCUGUUCGAGCGUCAUUUCAACCCUCAAGCCCAGCUUGGUGUUGGGAGCUGCAGUCCUGCUGCACUCCCCAAAUACAUUGGCGGUCACGUCGAGCUUCCAUAGCGUAGUAAUUUACACAUCGUUACUGGUAAUCGUCGCGGCCACGCCGUUAAACCCCAACUUCUGAAUGUUGACCUCGGAUCAGGUAGGAAUACCCGCUGAACUUAAGCAUAUCAAUAAG
rnacentral:rRNA from 1 species